AGAUACUUGUGGCAGAUCAGCGUAUAGCUCAUGAGUGACAGGCUUCACAGAUCCUAACGUUGUAUUAUCAUCUAUCUUUACACUCACUUUCAAUAUUCAAAUACGGCACAGUGACAUAAGAUCUUUGAUUGUCAGAUGAAGGGGUUAACUUAACUAUCCCUGAGCACAAGACUCUAGCCUGAGGAGUACUAACACAAGGCUCAAAUAAAGCUUCACUUGCCUGUAGUUGCGUCACUAGCGUUAUGUAACCUGCAACAGAUGCAUGCAGUUGCAAAGGUUCCGCUGCUUGGCAACGUACGGCCUUAUUUUCAGUGAGACCUUCUUCCUUUCCAUCUACAUUUAGCUAAGAUCCUUCACCUCUAGAUAUAAGACAUAUUUUUCCUGGCAUAAUUGUAUGGUUUCCCCUUCUAUUAUCAGUUUUAAGCUUCGUUCUUUUGUUCCUCAUUUAGUUGCAAUGUUUUCAAAAUAAUCUCGUGCUACACGACAAAUCAGUACUCAACAUAAUAUGAGUUGGCAAAUCUACAUCGCGUGUUAUCAAUAAGUCUUGGAAACUACUUUUUCCUUCCAUAUUAACUUGUCUUUUACCGUCAUUUUCAAUAUGGUAUCUUUGCACAGAGACAAUAUUCACGGGUUUCGCUUCACAGUUAUUUACUGCGAGCCCUAAUUCUUUAAUAAAUUCAUCCGUUAAAAACUCACACACGCUCCUGUUUCUAGGAGUGCUGCCACUUUUGCAUAUGUGUUAUCAUGAGUAGUGCGAUCUGCCUAACAAAGUUACUCUUGAGUCAUGUUGAUUAUAGCCUUCUUUUCAUUAUUUUUAAGGUCACUCCCUUGUUCGUUAUAGCCUUCUUUUCCUUAUAUUUAUGUGAGGCGGUUACUCCCUUGUUCGUUAUAGCCUUCUUUUCCUUAUAUUUAUGUGAGGCGGUUACUCCCUUGUUCGUUAUAGCCUUCAUCUUAUUAUAUUAAAGGUUACUCCCUUGUUCGUUAUAGCCUUCAUCUUAUUAUAUUAAAGGUUACUCCCUUGUUCGUUAUAGCCUUCAUCUUAUUAUAUUAAAGGUUACUCCCUUGUUCGUUAUAGCCUUCAUCUUAUUAUAUUAAAGGUUACUCCCUUGUUCGUUAUAGCCUUCAUCUUAUUAUAUUAAAGGUUACUCCCUUGUUCGUUAUAGCCUUCAUCUUAUUAUAUUAAAGGUUACUCCCUUGUUCGUUAUAGCCUUCAUCUUAUUAUAUUAAAGGUUACUCCCUUGUUCGUUAUAGCCUUCAUCUUAUUAUAUUAAAGGUUACUCCCUUCUUCGUUAUAGCCUUCAUCUUAUUAUAUUAAAGGUUACUCCCUUGUUCGUUAUAGCCUUCAUCUUAUUAUAUUAAAGGUUACUCCCUUAUUCGUUAUAGCCUUCAUCUUAUUAUAUUAAAGGUUACUCCCUUGUUCGUUAUAGCCUUCAUCUUAUUAUAUUAAAGGUUACUCCCUUGUUCGUUAUAGCCUUCAUCUUAUUAUAUUAAAGGUUACUCCCUUCUUCGUUAUAGCCUUCAUCUUAUUAUAUUAAAGGUUACUCCCUGUUUUGUUCUUCGCUCAUUUUCCGUUUUUUCCACUGCAAGUGUGCAUAUUUAUUUAUUUAUUUAUUAUUCAUUUAUUUAUUUAAUGUUAUUUGUAGUAGAUAACUGAGGGGGGCACUACCCUGGCCUCCUCUUCCUCUGAUUCUCUUUCUUCACACAUUUAUCUUAAUACUUCACACUAUUGUCUAUAUGCUUCAUUUUUUUAUUUUUUUAUUCAUGACUUUUUAUCCAUACCUCACACUUUUCUUAGUAUUUCACAUUUUUUCUAGAUCAUACUCUACACUUCCUACCUGGGGGACGCGGGUUAGGCCUUUAUAAAGUCACUCUAUGGCUGCAUGC